CGAGAAACGACUCUAAAAAUAAAGUUAAUAUAAACCGUAGCUGAUGGAUACCACUAUCAGCUCUAUUUUCUAAAACUUAUCAUACACUCUGAUUUACCUAUUUAGGUAUUUAUCAACUAUCGGCUGCAGUCCGAUGAAUCAAACACCCUCCUUGCUGAGUAACAAUCUGCUGAGGUACGUAUCCCAUCAAUCUAACAAAAUGUUGGCUACCGUACCCUGUUUUGGGAGAAUAACUCCAGGAUGGGUUACUUGUACUAAUUUGAAGCUCAUUUCCGAAGAAUCAACAAACCUAUGGCAACUAGAACUUG
rnacentral:misc_RNA from 1 species